rnacentral:rRNA from 1 species
AACGCUAGCUACAGGCUUAACACAUGCAAGUCGAGGGGCAGCAUGAAGUUUGCUUGCAAACUUUGAUGGCGACCGGCGCACGGGUGAGUAACACGUAUCCAACCUGCCUUCCACUCGGGAAUAGCCUUUCAAAGAAAGAUUAAUGUCCGAUGGUACUGGUUUCUCGCAUGAGAGACUUUUUAAAGAAUUUCGGUGGAAGAUGGGGAUGCGUUCCAUUAGGCAGUUGGCGGGGUAACGGCCCACCAAACCGACGAUGGAUAGGGGUUCUGAGAGGAAGGUCCCCCACAUUGGAACUGAGACACGGUCCAAACUCCUACGGGAGGCAGCAGUGAGGAAUAUUGGUCAAUGGACGAGAGUCUGAACCAGCCAAGUAGCGUGAAGGAUGACUGCCCUAUGGGUUGUAAACUUCUUUUAUACGGGAAUAAAGUGAAGCACGUGUGCUUUUUUGUAUGUACCGUAUGAAUAAGGAUCGGCUAACUCCGUGCCAGCAGCCGCGGUAAUACGGAGGAUCCGAGCGUUAUCCGGAUUUAUUGGGUUUAAAGGGAGCGUAGGCGGAAGUUUAAGUCAGUUGUGAAAGUUUGCGGCUCAACCGUAAAAUUGCAGUUGAUACUGGAUUUCUUGAGUGCGGUAUAGGUAGGCGGAAUUCGUGGUGUAGCGGUGAAAUGCUUAGAUAUCACGAAGAACUCCGAUUG